AUGAACGCUGGCGGCGUGCCUAAUACAUGCAAGUCGAGCGAACAGACGAGGAGCUUGCUCCUCUGACGUUAGCGGCGGACGGGUGAGUAACACGUGGAUAACCUACCUAUAAGACUGGGAUAACUUCGGGAAACCGGAGCUAAUACCGGAUAAUAUAUUGAACCGCAUGGUUCAAUAGUGAAAGACGGUUUUGCUGUCACUUAUAGAUGGAUCCGCGCCGCAUUAGCUAGUUGGUAAGGUAACGGCUUACCAAGGCAACGAUGCGUAGCCGACCUGAGAGGGUGAUCGGCCACACUGGAGCUGAGACACGGUCCAGACUCCUACGGGAGGCAGCAGUAGGGAAUCGUCCGCAGUGGGCGAAAGCUUGACGGAGUAACGCCGCGUGAGUGAUGAAGGUCUUCGGAUCGUAAAACUCUGUUAUUAGGGAAGAACAAAUGUGUAAGUAACUAUACACGUCUUGACGGUACCUGAUCAGAAAGCAACGGCUAACUACGUG
rnacentral:rRNA from 1 species